rnacentral:lncRNA from 1 species
UUAAUCUUUCAAAAAGCCAAAAAGAACUAACUCAUUCAAACCAUUUUAAAGCCUUUGCACCUUUCAAACUUAAUUUUUGUUAAAACCAACAUACUCACUUGGAAAUUUCUAGCACGAACAACGAGGUUUUGAUCCCUCAUUUAUAUGUUGGUACGUGGGCACGAGACCAAAGGUCUUGUCAAACACAAAAAUAUAAUUAAU